rnacentral:rRNA from 1 species
AGCUCCAAUAGCGUAUAUUAAAGUUGUUGCAGUUAAAAAGCUCGUAGUCGAACUUUGGGUGAAGCUACCUGGUCGGUCAAUUUGGCUGUACUAGAGUGCGGAUCCUUUUUCCUGGGGGACUAUUGCUUUGCGAUAGGAUUCCAGGGUUUUACUUUGAAGAAAUUAGAGUGUUUAAGGCAGGCAUGUGCUUGAAUACAUUAGCAUGGAAUAAUAGAAUAGGACUUUGGUUUUAUUUUGUUGGUUUUAAAGACCAGAGUAAUGAUUAAUAGGGAUAGUUGGGGGCAUUAGUAUUUAAGAGUCAGAGGUGAAAUUCUUGGAUUUCUUAAAGACUAACUACUGCGAAAGCAUUUGCCAAGGAUGUUUUCAUUG